GGUCUGUAGCUCAGUGGCAGAGCACUUACCUAGCAUGCAUGAGGCACUGGGUUUGAUCCUCAGCACCA
rnacentral:tRNA from 1 species